GCCGAGGUGGCGGAAUGGUUAACGCGCACGACUGGAAAUCGUGUGUCUGAAAGGGCGUGCAGGUUCAAACGCACUGCUGACGUAGGCGCAGUCAACAGAGCUGAACAUCCUGUCCUCGGCG
rnacentral:tRNA from 1 species